rnacentral:lncRNA from 1 species
GAGGCUGGCGGCCUCUGGAGACAGAUAUGCUGUGUGGCACAAGUAAAUCAUUAUAAUGGCAUCGAUAUGCUCUCCUAAAUUGGAGUAAUUACCCUGCUAAAGUGAAGAACACCACGGGAAAACAUGUCUUUUAGUCUUGUAGAUUAACCUGGGCAGAAAUAGAGUGGCUCACGUGUGAAUUGCAAUGUGAAUUACAAAAUAAUUGAGAUGCUGCUGCUAUCAUAAGUGAAUUGCAGCUAGUGGGGAUUACCUGUAUAAGGAUGUAUCUAUAUGUAGGGUGCGUGUUGUCUUGAUUCUGGAACUAGAAAUUGGAAUGGUUCGUCAGAGAAUAAAAAAAAAUUGGAUCAACCUAGGAGGUUGAGGAUUUCAAAUUCGAGCUAGAGGGAACUUGAACCUAGCACAC